GAUGAACGCUGGCGGCGUGCCUAAUACAUGCAAGUCGAGCGAACAGACGAGGAGCUUGCUCCUCUGACGUUAGCGGCGGACGGGUGAGUAACACGUGGAUAACCUACCUAUAAGACUGGGAUAACUUCGGGAAACCGGAGCUAAUACCGGAUAAUAUAUUGAACCGCAUGGUUCAAUAGUGAAAGACGGUUUUGCUGUCACUUAUAGAUGGAUCCGCGCCGCAUUAGCUAGUUGGUAAGGUAACGGCUUACCAAGGCGACGAUGCGUAGCCGACCUGAGAGGGUGCUCGGCCACCCUGGAACUGAGACACGGUCCAGACUCCUACGGGAGGCAGCAGUAGGGAAUCUUCCGCAAUGGGCGAAAGCCUGACGGAGCAACGCCGCGUGAGUGAUGAAGGUCUUCGGAUCGUAAAACUCUGUUAUUAGGGAAGAACAAAUGUGUAAGUAACUAUGCACGUCUUGACGGUACCUAAUCAGAAAGCCACGGCUAACUACGUG
rnacentral:rRNA from 1 species